GUUUACGGCCACACCGCCUGGUUCAUGCCCGAUCUCGGAAGCUAAGAUAGGUUGGGCCUGGUUAGUACUUGGAUGGGAGACCGCCUCGGAAUACCAGGUGCUGUAAGCU
rnacentral:rRNA from 1 species